UUUAAUUUUUAUUUACAAAUAAUUUUAAAGAUAAAAUAAUUCACGCACAUAAGAUCAUCAGCUUCAUUAGCCUUAAUCAGAGAGGGAUUUAGUUCCAGCUCUAUUUUUUAAGGACUCCAUGAGACCUCAGCCUUAAUCAGAGAGCGGAGCCAGGGGAAUGUUUCAACGGUACUCUUGAUUUUGUUCUAGAAUGUCUCAACGGUAUUCUAGAUUUUUUUCUACAUUGCAGAGCGGAGAAUGCCUCAUCCUCUGGAUUAAAAAGAACGGAGCGGAGUGCUUCAACGUACACAAAUUAUAGCCCUGAGAUUGGAGGAAAUUGACGACAUGGAUGAAAUGGCCAUUAAAUUUUCCAUGUUACCGUUUGAAACAGCAACAUUCACCUCUUCUAUUUAUAGACAAUUCAUUUGAAAAGCAGGGGCAGAUUAUUCCCCAUUCUACUGUUUUUUGUUUGCGUGUGAUUGUAAUGUUUCUGGGUUUUAUUCAGAUUGUUCCCUAUUCUAUUUGUUUUGUUGUUUGCGUGUGAUCCGCUUAUGUUUUUAUUCAGUUUUUGUGUUUGGAUUUUUUUCUAUUUCAAUUUUCAUAGUAUUCUGUGGAUGGUGAAUUUUGAAUGGGGAACUAAGGAGGGCAGAGCUAUACCUCCAUUAUAUUUGCAGUUGCAUUUUCUCUAAUAUGGAUGGAGGUAUUCGAUUACGGGACCUAUUCUGUCAGAACUUGGGAGGUGGUUGCAGAGUCCUUUAUAGCUUAUGGAGAUCGGCUAUAAUUCUCAUGCAGAGUACUUGGACAUUGCUGGUGCUAAUCUUUCUGGCGUACUGCCACAAGGUCUUGAAUUAGCAUAUUCUACUGUAUGCUUUUAGGAUGAAGAAUCCUUACAGGAUUGUUUGUAAAUAACAAGGCAUUUGUUUUUUUCGAAGUUUUCUUUUGCUUGUUUCACAAAAGCAAAGUCUCUAAAAUGUGUGUUCUAAUUGGUAUGUACUGUAUGGUCAAUGUGUAUGUUAUGACUAAGGAAUAAUUAGAAAGAAUUUUCUAUACAAAAUUGCUGGCAAAGUAUUUCUUGGCCA